rnacentral:rRNA from 1 species
UACGAAGGGGGCUAGCGUUGUUCGGAUUUACUGGGCGUAAAGCGCACGUAGGCGGAUCGUUAAGUCGGGGGUGAAAUCCUGGAGCUCAACUCCAGAACUGCCUUCGAUACUGGCGAUCUUGAGUCCGGAAGAGGUGAGUGGAACUCCUAGUGUAGAGGUGGAAUUCGUAGAUAUUAGGAAGAACACCGGUGGCGAAGGCGGCUCACUGGCUCAUUACUGACGCUCAGGCGCGAUAGCGUGGGGAUCAAACAGG